rnacentral:lncRNA from 1 species
AUCAGCUUCGCCAGUGUCGUUCUCAAUGGUGGCAUCUCAAAUCUAACAUGAUUCUAACAUAGAAUGAUAACUGCUGAUAUGCGAAAAAAUUAAUUUAAUACAAAAUCACAUUGAAAAUGAAUAUUACUUGAGUAAAAAAUAAAGGCGAAAAUAAUCUCAUUUUAAGAAUGAGCUAAUAUCGAGGAGAAAUAAGAACAAAGAGAAACAUUUCGGCCAUGCAAUUCUUUGAUGGGCACCAUCUAAUUUUAUUCAGCGAACCGGUUAGUCCAGAUCCAAUCUUUAGUCACGCGAGUUUUUCGCACGUGUGAGCCAUUUCCCCGCCAAAACUCCAUCACCUUCCCGCCGAAAGAGCCCAAAUGAUAAUUAAACAUCAAGGAAAAGGAAACGUCUCAGAAGGAGCGAUUUCGCUUCUUCAUUUCAGAGAGAGUGAAAAUAAAAGAUAAUCGUAGUAGAAAAAAAUGUCGGGAUGGGACGAAGGAGGGGUGUACUACAGCAACCAGGCGCAGUUCACAGAUGCCUCCUCGGAAGCGGAAGUGCCACCGCAUCGGCCACUUCGAGUCGCCAUUCCGUGCUCCUUAAAUUCAAGGAGUUCAUCAGAAACUUCGAGAAGGAGAAGAACGUGUUCCCUCACAGAGAAAGCCUCGUGGAUAACCCUAAAUUCCUAGUGGUCAAUCUUGAAGACCUUCUCUCCUUCUAUUCCGAUCUCCCUUCCCUCCUUCGAUCCUCUCCCUCCGAUUAUCUGCCUCUGGUAAAACACUCUUGCAAGUAUUAAUAUCAAUUCUAUCAAAACAUAUUCUAUUGCUUAUUAUUUUUAGUUAUUAAUAACCGUUUUAGUUUGAGCAUGGUAUUAAAUUGCGAGCUGCAAUAUAGUGUAACGGCAGCAUUGUAACAGUUUUAAAGGUCUCCACGACUCAAUAUUGGCGCAAGGCAAUAAGGGAAUCGCAUAACGACUUUUGCAGUUUGAAGCUGUUACUAACACCGUAAUAAAUUUUCAAAUUAUCCGAAAUGUAAAAUCACAUAGAAAAAUCACUCAAAUAUUUUUAGACUUAGCAAAAAAGAAAAAAUAAUGUUAAAUAAUAAUAAAUAUUUAACUUAUGAAACAUUCUUAUUUGAUCCUUGGAAUAUUAUAAAAAUGGUUUGAUCAUUGGAAUAUUUAACAAACUUCUAACAUUAUACUUACAUUAAAUCAACAAAUUGCAUGCCUAUUAUCACUUUUUUUUUUUAGCAGUGAUUAUCAGGUAAAGCUUUAUUCUUAAUACAGAUUAUCCACCUCACUUUCAACAAAAUUCAAGCUACGGACUUAUUGGUUACCAUUUACUAUAACACAUUUUUUCUAUGAAUGAUACAUCUUAUGGUGCACACAAUGUGAUGCCUUUUUCACAUGGAGUGAGAAGCGAUCAAAACCAAGGCAGUGAUGAAAACUUUUUCACAGAAUUGUAAGAAAUGAAGUUUUUAUAUUUGUAUUUAUGUAUUUUUUAAAUUAUGUAAAAUAAACUUUUUCAUGUUAGAAUAUGAGAAUAUUAUAUUCUUUUUCUAAUGAGACUAUUUAUAUUUUACUCAUUAAAAUUAUGGUUGUUAUUAUCAUUCAGUUAAUAUGAUAAUAUUUGUAUAAUCCAUAUUUAUUUUUAAUGAAUUUUUAUCUAUAAAAUUAUAUUUUUAGUUUUAAAAUAAAACAUAUAAAAGAGUAUAUUAAUAUUAGAAUAUUAAAAUAUAGUUACAAAAUAUGUAAAUAUAAUAUUUUACAGUAGGUCCGCAUCAUCUGCAACCGCAACACCGGAAUCGCAAUUGCGACAGACAUUGCAAUCGCAAUUUAGUACUAUGAGUUUGAGAUUGUGGCUGCAGAGGUUUUAGCGGGUUUGAAGAUGAAAGUAGCGAGACAUUUGGGUGAAAUGGUGGAGCCACAGACGGGCGAGGUUUAGAUUUUACUUAUAUCAAAGGAAGAUCCAGUUUCUAUGCGUUCAUUUGGGGUAAUUGUUUGUGUUAAAAACAGGCUAUUUCGAUUAUAUUUUUCACAAGAAAUAACAUAAAUAUUUAUACACAUAGUGAGCCUAACUUAGGAAACUUUACACUAGGAAACAGACUAAUUCUAGGGAUGCUGUACCUAAAAACAGCCUUAAAGUUAGGGAUGAAAUAUUUACAGAAUCCUAUUUGAUACACUCAAAUAUUCCUUAAUUAGAAAACUGAGAUCUGACACUUCCCCUCAAGCUGGCAAGUAGAUAUCAUCCAUUCUCAGCUUGCUUACUAAUUUCUGAAACAACUUCCCAGACAAUCCUUUGGUAAGUAUGUCUGCUAGUUGACCAUUAGCGGACACAAAUGGAGUGCAAAUUAAGCCAUAGUCCAGUUUUUCCUUUAUAAAAUGUCUGUCAACCUUAACGUGCUUCGUUCGAUCAUGUUGAACUGGAUUAUGUGCAAUAUUGAUAGCAGACUUAUUAUCACAAUACAAUUUCAUUGGACCUUCCCACUUGAUCUUCAAAUCUUUCAAAAUAAUUUUUAGCCAUAACAACUUACAAACUCCAAGAGCCAUCGUCUUAAAUUCAGCUUUUGCACUAGAUCUAGCCACAACAUUUUGUUUUUACUCCAAGUUACAAGGUUUCCUCCUAGGAAAGUACAAUAGCCCGAGGUUGAUCUUCUAUCAACCAUAGAUCCUGCAUAAUCUGCAUCAGUAUAGGCUUCAAAGGUUAAAUUCUCCCCCUUUUUAAAUAGGAUUCCUUUGCCGGCGUGCCUUUUAAGUACUGUAGAAUUUGAUAUACGGCUCUAAGAUGUGAUUCUUUGGGAUUGUGCAUAAACUGACUUACAACACCUACUGCAUAGGCAAUAUCUGGACUGGUAUGAGACAAGUAAAUGAGCUUCCCUACAAGUCUUUGAUAUGGCCUUUUAUCAACUGCUGCAUCUUCUAGUGUAUUUCCAAGUCUGUGGUUCACUUUUAUGGGUGUCUCUACUGGUUUACAACCCAACUUGCCCGUCUCUAUCAACAAAUCAACUAUGUAUUUUUGCUGAGAUAUGAAUAUUCCUUCCCAAGAGUGUGCCACUUCAAUACCAAGGAAAUAUUUUAACUUACCGAGCUCUUUGACUUCAAAUUCUUUUACUAGGCAUUUUUUUAAAUUCUCCAUUCCUUCUAAAUCAUCACCAGUCACUAUAAUAUCAUCAACAUAGACUAAUAAAGCAGUCACUCCCCCUGAAGAUGAGUGUUUUACAAACAAAGUGUGAUUUCCUUGACUCUAUUUAUACCCCAACUUGAGCAUUACUUUGGUAAAUCUUCCAAACCAAACCCUCGGGGACUGUUUUAGUCUGUGUAAAGCCUUUUCUAGUCUACAAACUACUUGUCCUGUAUUUGGACCGAAUCCUGGAGGAACAUCCAUAUAGACUUCCUCCUCAAGAUCAUCGUGUAAAAAGGCAUUUUUGAUGUCAAAUUGCUGUAAUUUCCAGCCUCGGUUGGCAGCUAGUAACAACAACACUCUUACAGUGUUCAUCUUUGCAACAGAGGCAAAAGCCUCAAGUAGUCUAUUCCAUACAUUUGAGUGUACCCUUUAGCAACCAAUCUUGCUUUGUACCUCUCCAAAGAACCAUCUGACUUAUAUUUCACUGUGUACACCCAACGACAUCCCACUAGUUUCUUUCCUCUCGGUAAUUUCACUAAGUUCCAUGUCUUAUUUUUUUCAAGAGCUUUCAUUUCAACUUUCAUGACAUUUUUCCAAUUCUCAUCUUCUAAUGCCUCGGAUAUAGUUUUGGGAAUGGAGAUAGAAUUUAGGCUAGUAAGAAAGGUUUUGUGGUUAUGGGUCAAGUUUUUGUAAGACAUGAAUAGGUACAAGGGAUGUUUUGUACAGGUUCUAGUCCCCUUUCUAAUAGCAAUGGGAAAAUCAUCUAAAUUUGCAGUAUUAGAAUUCAAAGUAUAUUCAGCAAUUACCUCAGGUCGUAUAGGAGAAGAAGAUGAUUGAACUUGCACCGGUGCCUUCUUCUUUGAAUAAACCAGUAAAGGAUGAGUAGUGUCCUGAAUUCCUCUUGGUGAUUUGGGUGUAUUAGGCUCUGUUUCAGAUUGUAUAGGGGCCAUUGUUUCAAGUCGGGCAGGUUGGUUAGUAGGCAAGGACUGAGUGGGAGUGUUUGGUUGCUGGACAGGAGCUGGAAUGUGAGUGUUUGGUUGCUAGAUAGGAGCUAGAAUGUCAAGAAGAAAGAAUUCAUUGUCCUUAUCUUCUGUGAAUAAGAUCUCCCUCUGAAGAUAAGGACCAGUAAAGAAAUUCUCUUGUUCUGCAAAAGUAACAUCCGCUGUUACAAAAAAAAAAUUAUGGCUGGAUGAUAGCAUUUGUACCUUUUUUGAGUGGAAGAAUAACCAAGAAAGACACACUUGACAGCUCGUGGAUCAAAUUUUCCUCUAUUUUGAGAAUGAACAUGUACAAAGGCAACACAACCAAAUUUUAGGAGUAAAGUUACUUGAAGUAUUGAAAUUAGGAAAGGAUUUUGCUAGAACUUGCAUAGGACUUUGAGAUUCAAGGACUUUUGUAGGCAAUCUAUUUAUCAAAUGAGUAGCAGUUAAAAUAGCUUCCCCUAAUAUUGUUUAGGGACAUUUUUUUGGAACAAAAGGGCUCUUGUAAUAGCUAAAAGUGACAAUUCUUUCUUUCAGUAAAACCAUUUUGUUGGGGUGUACUAACACAAGAUGACUCAUGUAUAAUGCCUCUUUCUUGGAAAUAUGUUGAUAAACAUGUCAAAUUGCAUAUUUUUUGUGCUUAAUUUGGUUUAUUGAUGAACUGAACCCUGCUAAUUAAGUGUUUUUAUGAUUUAAUUCUUGUCAGGGAUGCAAUUGAUCAAAAACAAGCUGAAAAGGGGCAAAAUUAAAAGAAAAUUAUUGGAAUGGGCCAAAGUGAAAAGAUGGAGCAAGCCAAUGACUAGUCAUAAAUUUAACUUUGUAAAAAGCCAAAAAUAGGAAAUUCUAUUUUAAGUUUAUUUAUUUUUAAUUAUUAUUUUAGAUUUUAUAUUAAUUUUCUUAAGCUAUUUUUAGUAAACCUUAUCUAUAUAAAUAAGGGGUUUUAGUUCUUACGAAAUCAUCCAUUAAUCAAUUGUCUUUAUAUUCCUAUUUCAUUUUGGAAUUCUAUUAUCCACCUUGUUUUCCUUUUUCUUAAUUCAAUUGAGCAUUAGAUUAUUUUGUCUUCUUUUUACAAAAUUUGUCUAAUUCUCUUUGCAAAUAUUUUUCCUAUCCAUUUCCACUACCUUUUUCAUAUAAUUUCUAUCAUUUCCAUAACCUUCAAGCAUGAUUAAAUUCAUGCCACACUAAACCCCUUUCAGCUUUAAGCCGGUUUUAGCCGUGUCAAAAAACCCGUGAGUUACGAACCCGAGCUGUUUAACUCCCAAUUUUCGAUAUUUAUUAUUUCUCCGGAUUAAGAGUAUGACUUCAUCAACUCACAAAGUCAAGUCAAUACUAAGUCAAAAAAGACGUCGUUUGAGUUAGUGUGGCUAGGCGUACAGUUGGAAUUCCGAAAGGAUCGAUUGUCUAAUUGGUCUUCAGUGAACACAUUGGCGUACCAAGUAGGGAUUGCUAUUUGGUUCCGUCAAGGGAUGUAGUAACCGGAUUUAAAUGUCCCAAACGUUUGAGGGCAUUGGUUCGAGCUAGGCUCUUCUAGAACGCAAAGCUGUCGGAGUUCUAAAUCACGAACGUUUCGUAGGUUGUUCGAUCGGUAAGGGUUAGUUAUAGGAUGUUCCAUAACUAAUUUACACAAGGAAGAGUUGGUGUCCGAGGCGUCCUUGGUAGCUAUAACUAGCUUAUCGGAAAAGAGGAGUUCACCUAAUUUCGAGGAACGGGUCAAAGACGGGAAAACCCGUGCUUAAGGCUGAGCUAAGUUUUAUUGAUUUUCCUUUAAAUUACUUCGUUAUUUAUUUUUAUUUCAUCUUUUGCUUUUUACUUUUUACGUUUUCUUGUGUUUAUUUCAGGUUUCAUAUUUUAUUUCCCCCCCAAACGUCGUGGGCACGACAACUGCCCAGAUACUAAUCUGGUCAAGAAACAAACAAUUUUCAGUAAUUCCAGUCUCUGUGGGAUCGACCCUACUUCCUAUACUGCUUUAAUUUGCAAACUAGGUGUAGGUUUAUAUUGGUGGAAUCGAUAGCCAUCAGUUUUGGUGCCGUUGCCGGGGACUAGCAACACUUACAAUUGUUUAAAUUGUCUUCAUGACCAGAUCUUCAUCCGGAGAUCUCGAAUACGACCCAGAGAUCGAGAAAUCAGCGCGAGCACGAUGAAAAGAGAUAGAAGCUUUUAAACAUGCAAGUAAAUCAGGAAUUGAGCUAGGACAAGGGAUCCUAGAAUCUGACGUUGAAAAGUUAAGCGAAGUAAUUCGAGCAGAGGCAAUUCGACGUGGGAAACGAGUCGAAGAGGUUGAACCUGAGACCAAACCACUCUUUGAAACAAAAGGAAACCUCGGUGAAUCAGAAAGGAUGGCAAACCGAACCAUUCGUCAACUAGCCGCUGCUCCCAACGAGCAAACACCGUUAUGCAUCAACUAUCCAACCGGAGGAACCCCUUUCAAAUUAAAGUCGGGCUUGAUUCACCUUUUGCCCACUUUUCGAGGCUUGAAGAACGAAAAUCCACACACUCACUUGAGAGAAUUCCAUAUGGUCUGCUCAAGCAUGAAACCCCAGGGAGUACCCGAAGAUGAGAUCAAACUUCGGGCCUUUCCUUUUUUUUUUAGUUGAUACAGCAAAAGAAUGGUUAUUUUACUUACCUCCCGGUUCCAUCACAACGUGGGAUGACUUAUCUUGUGUAUUUCUUGACAUGUUCUUCCCAACGUCACGAGCAGCCGAGCUUAGGAGGGACAUAGUGGGAAUUCGCCAAUUGGAGAGUGAAUCGCUCUACGACUACUGGGAGCGGCACAAAAAACUGUGUGCGAGUUGUCCUCAACAUGGGUUGACCGAACAAUCACUUCUUCAAUAUUUCUACAGGGUUUGCUCCCUAUGGAAAUGAAGAUGAUCGACGCUGCUAGCGGAGGAGCGCUUGUCAAUAUGACCCCUCAAAGGGCAAGAGAGCUAAUAUCCACCAUGGCGGCAAAUUCUCAACAAUAUCGGCCAAAUUCAGAACCGACAAGACUGGUUAAUGGGGUAAACGUUUCAACUUUAGAAGAUAAAUUGGAUAAGCUUACGAAUGUUGUUCAAUCUUUGCUUACAGAAAAGAAGAGUUUGACCCCACUAUGUGGAAUUUGUACUACGUCUGAACACCCGACGAAUUUGUGCCCAAUCCUUAACGAUAAUUCAACAACACAUGUAGAUGCUGUCGGAGGUUUUCCGGGACCUCUGCAAAGACGUUAUGAUCCUUUCUCCAAGACCUACAAUCCCGGGUGGAAAGAUCAUCCCAACCUGAAUUACGGAGCUAAUCCCCGAUAUAAUCCAUCAUACCAAUCGAGACCUCAGCAACCACUACAACAACAACACAAGCCGAGCACAUCUCUAGAAGCUGUUGUGGAAAGACUUGCCGCCGAUGCUGCAAAAUAUCAACAGAGGACAGACGCAUCAAUACAAGAGUUAACUAAUCAAGUUAGUAAACUCUCAAUGGCAGUUAAUCGCUUGGAGUCUCAAGGUAAAUUACCUUCCCAGACAGAGCCGAACCCUCGGCAGAAUGCCAGUGCAAUCACUCUUCGUAGUGGAAAGGUUCUGGAAACAGUACCAACUAAAAGUCAUGGGCAAGACAAGGAACAGGAAAAGCAGAUCUCCGAUGUAACAACCAGGCCAGAAUUAGAAGUUCAGAAACCAGUUGUGAUGCCACCUCCUUUUCCAAGGAGGCUUGCAAGAGAUAAGAAAGAGAAGGAGGAAAAAGAGAUCCUCGAGACAUUCAGGAAGGUGGAGGUAAAUAUUCCUUUACUCGAUGCUAUCAAACAAAUCCCUCGUUAUGAAAAAUUCCUCAAGGAGUUGUGUACUAGAAAGAGGAGGUUAAUAGGCAAUGAAAGAGUAAAUGUAGGAGAAAAUGUCUCCGCAGUACUACAAAAGAAAGUUCCACCCAAAUACAAGGACCAAGGUAUGUUUGCUAUUCCUUGUAAGAUAGGCAAUGUAGGCAUUAAGAAAGCCAUGUGUGAUUUAGGGGCUUCCAUUAAUGUUAUGCCUUAUUCUAUUUAUAAGCUGAUUAAUGCGGGUCCUUUAAAAGAGACAUGAGUAAUAAUCCAGUUGGCGGACAGAUCAGUCGUCUAUCCCGAAGGGCUGCUUGAAGACGUCAUUGUAAAAGUUAACGAAUUAGUUUUCCAUGCAGAUUGCUACAUUAUUAGUAUUGAAGAUGAUAAUUCAACUAAUUCGUCUGACAUUUUGCUUAGAAGGCCGUUUCUAAGUACUGCGAGGGCAAAAAUAGAUGUUCGAAGUGGAACACUGACCAUGGAGUUUGAUGGCGAAAUUGUGAAAUUCAAUGUCUACAAGGCCAUGGGUCAUCCUAACUUUCUAUUAAAUAUUUCUAGCAUUGAUAUUUUAGAUUGUUUAACUCAAUCUUAUUCUGAAUAUCAUGACUUUGAUGAGUUGGAAACUGUCCUUUACAGAAACAUUGACAUGGAUGUUUUACAUCAUCUCGAAGAAUUCGCAGUCAUUGAAGAUCCAUUGCAAAGAAAUCGUCAAUCACUUGGAUAUCCAACCUUCGUUGACAAACCGAGCUAACCAAUUUGAACUAUUACCUUCCCAAACUAAAA